GAAUCACGGUUGAAACAAGAUUUAUCAUGAGAAGUCAGCAGAGGUCAUAGUACCAGGAUGGACAUGUACAGCCUGGGAAGGAC
rfam:[Clostridium] hungatei strain DSM 14427 CLHTN_contig000008, whole genome shotgun sequence.